rnacentral:lncRNA from 10 species
AGGGAUGAAAUAUUCAUGACAAUUACAGUCUUCUUUUCUGUAACUGAUGACAUGGCUGCAGCUCAUACUUACAACUACCAUCUUCAACUACCCAUCCUGUAUUCCCUUUGCCUUCAGCAAGAACCUCAGCUGGUUAUGCUUCUUAACCUAGAAGGCCAAGGUUGGUUUGAGGGUGGAGGGGAGGUAAACCAAACCUUCAUUCCUAAAGGUCUGGGCCAUUCAUAGUCUUGCCUGGUUUGGGUUGUAGUUUUCCAUUGACUUUAACCACAGGGCAUGGUAAUACUGAGACACCCUAAGAGAUCUCCUGUGUUCCAGACAUAUUCUUUUUUACCUCUUUUAUGUCAGAUUUCCCCAUGGUAGUCUGGAUCAAUUACCCCAGCCAACACCAUAACUCCCCUAUUGGCCUGUUGACUCAGAGGCAUAAGGAGCCCAAAGUGGUUGGAUGGCAGUCUUAACUUCUAGUUCAAUGGAAUUUAGUUCAACUGUGUCUUCUGGUGGAAGCAGUCCUCCCUCUGGAUCCAGCAGAGCAUACAGCCUUCUGGAGAACCUUUGCUUCUGCCUUGCAAAGUAUUGUCACUUAGCUGGUUCUGUAAGUGAGUCUUCAAAAGGCCAUUCCACUAUUCUAUCAAGCCAGCUGCUUCAGGUUGUGGGGAACACGACAAGACCAAUGAAUUCCAUGAACAUGGGCCCACUGUUGCACUUCUUUGGCUGUG